GAUUAAAGGGAAAAAAAAGUACUAAAAUUUGUGUUCUCUUUUUUGAAUUUAUUUCAAGAUUUUUCCUAUAAGUAAUGUUGUAUUGACCAUAUACAUAAAAUUAAUCUUUAUUUGCUUGUAUGUUUAUUUCUUUAGGAAAAAGAACAUCUUCAAUUUUAGCAAAUGUAGAAGGAAUGAUAAGUAAAUUUACUUAAAAAAUUUGAACACAGUUGUGCCUCACUUUACAAAGUUGAUAAGUUCAUAAGAUAUUUGCAAAUGGAAGUUUAAGAAAUGUUUUUGACAAACUUUUGAGUAUCAUGUGAUGAGUAUCAUUUAAAGAUUUGGAAGGGAAGGUAAAACAAGUGCACAAAUAUAAGUGCAUAUAAAUAUAAAAUGUGCUAAGUCUUAUACAUAAACAGUGCUGUGUAGAGAUGAAUAUUAUAACUUUUGGGAUGGAAUGGAUUAUAGCUGAGUAUAGGAAAGACAGCAUACAAUCUGGAAGGAUAUGUAGUAUUCAAGGAGGAAAGAAAGGAGAGGGCUUUUUAGGUAAAGCAGCUUAAAUGGCACUAGCCAAAAUUGAGGCCUGUUAAGGGAGUAGUAGUCCAGUUACCUGAAAUGUCUGAGAAUAGUGAGCAAGAAGGUUAGAAAGCUAAAAUUGAGGUCACAUUAUAGAAUUAAUCAAAUUAGGGAGUGAGAAUUUAGUUUGUAAUAGGAAUUAUCAUGGUUUUUAUAAAGCAGGGGGGAGGAUUUGGAGGUUAAUUAGUUAGGUUAUAGUAGUAGUCCUUUAAAACAAGAAGGGAGAAGAUAGAUCGAGGAGAGAUCAGGGAGGCAGUAAAAAAUGGACGGGUUUCGGUAACCAGAUGGAAGUGAACAAUAAGGGUAAAGGGAGGAGCCAGGUAUGAUCCUAGGUUGAAUCUGUAGUUAGUAGGAAGAGGGAAUCUAGGAAGAGGAGGGUUAACUACUUUGUAUUACGGGAGGUGAGAAGAUUGGGUGAGGUGAAUUUUAUUUUGAACUUGAUAACAAUAUUUAUUGACCAGUAAGAACUUCAGUACUAUAAGUGGGGAGACAAAUCAGGGCUAAGGGCAUAAAAUGUUUUUCUAGUUUUGUUUUAUCUUCAAAGUAGGCUAAUAUUCCAACCAUAAAUUAUUCCUUGGCCCCAACCUAUCAAGUAAUUAAUAACCAUUAACAAUACCAAUUUUGUACUUUUGGGAGACUUUAAAGUACCUGGUAAUAUAACAGCUUUAUAAAUUGAAGGUAACCUAAAUGGUUGUCUGCUCUAUUUCAUCUCUUUUAUAAACUUGAAUUUUUUAUAUAGAUAAAUUUAAAACAUUUAUUUGUCAGGUAUCAUCUGUCAGCCUGCUUAUUUGAUUUUUAUGAAUAGGUUCAUUUCAUAUUCUUGCUUAACUAACACAAACCUAUAUAGUUAGUUAUGUUUGACUUUAUGACUUUCAUGGUUUACUGGAAGACACAGGAUACAAUCACAUAGAAGUUGCUUUUAAUCCCAUUAACAGCUGAAAUACUUUACUGUAAAUUGUAUAUAUACUGGUAUGUACACAAGAACUCCUGGGGAAUGUGUCAUCUGAGAUACACAUUCUGCCGUUGCUUCUUGAUAAGGAAAUGGGAGUGGGAAAAUGGCAGGGUCAGGCUAGAAGAGGGACUAAGGAGCAGAAUUAGAAGCAUCUGAAAACAAUUAGAGGAAAGUUGAACUGUUUUACCUGUUAUUUGAAGAAGUUUGUGGUUUUUUCCUUUUUUUUAGUGUGAUGUGAUGAAAAUAAAGUAGAGCUUAAUUGCUUUUCACAGUUGAUCUCCCGUAUUUAUCAGUUAGCACAGGUAAUACUUUCAGAUUUCUGAUUCAGGCACUCUAAUAGGAAAUGGACCUCAGGGAACUACAUUUAUCUUCUGUGAAGUAAUUAGGGAAAAGACUGACAGAUUGGUAUUACCUCUGGCUAAAGUUGGGUCUUUUCCCAUACACAUUUGGGGAAUAGCCUCUGCAACUGGGAAUAGGGGGAAAAGGGACACUUAGAAGUUAUUAUGAAAAUGUAAAGGCAGAAGAAAGAUACACAUCUCAUAAUUUGAAAGAAAAAUUCAAAAAAGAAUCCUCACUGGAGGAUAUGCUUUUUAGAGUGAGAGGAAGGGGGAAAGAGAGAGAGAAACGUGGAUGCAUGAGAGAAACAUCAAUCUGUUGUCUUCUGUACAUGUCUGGACUGGGGACUGGACCCGCAGAACCUAAGUAUGUGCCCUGACCAGGGAUUGAACUCACAACCUUUUGGUGUAUGGGACAAACUUCAGCUAACUGAGUCACUUGGCCAGGGCAGAAAGAAAUUUAAUAAUGAGAAAUAUUACUUAGAAUAUAUUAUUUAGAUACGGGAAUGCUGAUAUUUAAAAAUAGUAACAGUACCAUUUUGUGCCAGGCACUGUGCUGAAUCCUUUAGGCCUUAUCCAAAGGUCUUAGAAUCACCCUACAAAAGUACAUAUUAUCUUAGUUUUACAGGUGAAGGAAAUACAACUUCAAGAGGUUGAAUGACUUGCCCAAAGUCAAAAUUCAAAUAUAGUGGAAACAAGAACUAAUUAGGUGUCAGUAGCAAGAGAAAGAUAAAGUGACCCAGUAAUAACCAAAGAAGUGUGCAGGACGUGUGAAGAAGACUUGGAAGCACUCUGCAGGGUCACAUAAAACUUGAACAAAUGGAAACCACAUUUGUGGAUAGGAAUAAUCAACAUACAUAAAUCUGUCAGUUUUCUCUAAAAAUUAGUCAAUUUCACGCGAUCCUAAUAAAAAUACCGAAUAGUGGUUUUUGGGGGAAUGAGACAAAUUGAUUCUCAGAUUCAUCCAGGAAAACUGAAAAAUAAAGAACAGAAAUAAUAUAUAUUUUAAUUUAAAGCCUUUAUAGUUUAAAUUGCCUCACAAAUAGAUAUAAUAAACAAAUAAAACAAUAUAUAAAGCCCAGAUAGAGACCCAGAUCACCAGAAGUCAGUGGGGAAAAAUUCAAAUGGGAGGUAUUCAGUAAAUGAUCCUGGAAUAAGAGCAUUAUCUGAGUAAUAAAAAAGUGAAGUAAUACCUCACUUCAGGAGUAUAUUUGGAUACAUUUCAAAUGAAUCAAAUAUUUAAAUGUAAUGAUUAAUGUGCUCAAAGACAACAUAGACAUAUUUGUUUAUUAUUUUGAAUUGAAGAAAACCUUUCUAAAUUGUGAAGAGGCAUAGAUAAGAAAAGCUACCUGAAAGUAAGAGUAAUUUUGUUAGAUAGAAAUCAUUGUAAAUAAGGUUAAAAGACAGAUGGGAAAGUGUUUGUGACUCAUUACAAUCAAAACAUGAAGCUCCCAGAUAUAAAAAAGUGCUCCUAAAAAAUGGUGAGAUAAAGAGAACAAUGAAGUAGCAAAAUGGACAGAAGAUGUGAACAGGCAUUUCACAGAGGAAGGAAAUAGGAAUGGCUCUGAAACAAAUGCAUACUCUUCCAACUUCAUGCUUAUUAAGAGAAAUGCAGAAAACUAUAAUGAGGUAACACUUUUUCACAUACCAGGUUAACAGAAGUCCUUAAUACAGUCUGUAUGGUGAGACUUUUAAUUAAAAAGUUUUCAUAGGUUGUUAGUAUAAAUUGAGAAGUUUUUAUGAUAAAUUCUUUCUUCAAAAUGUCCAAGAGUGUAACUCUUGCUUUGAUAGCUACAUUUGUAUAUGUACAAGGCAGCAUUACUACAACAUUGUUUGUAAUAGCAAAACAUUAGAAAUGGCCAUAUGAGUGACUAUCUGUUGGGAACUGGUAAAAUAAAUUAUGGUCUAUUCAGUCAAUGUAAAAUAAUGCUAUAUAAUUGUGAAAGGAAUGGAGUUCUUUGUGUACUACUAUGGAAAGAUCUAGUAAGUAAAAUGAAAAAUUGUGUAGAAAUAAUAUUUUGUAUUAAAAAUAUGUAUAUACACACAGACAUACAUAUAUGCACACACAUUUGUAUUUGAUUAUAGAUACAUAAAAUUACCUGUAAGGAUACAUACAACUAAUAACAGUGGUUACUCUUGGUGCAGAGGUAGGAUAAGAGAUGAGAACUCCAUUGCUAAGAAAUGGGUGGUAGACUCAGAUUUUUCACUGCAUACAUUUUUAAAAAUACAUACAUGACAAUUUAUAUAUAUAAAAUGUGUGUGGAUAUAUAAAAAUAUCCAUAUAUUUAAAGGGGUAGUGUCUGGAAAUAAGAGUAUUUGGAUAUAAAUCCUGCCUCUGUUACUUUUUAGCUGUGUUAUCCUGGGCACAUUGCUUAGUCACUCCGUGCCUGUAUUUUCUCAUGUAGAAUUAGGAUAAUCAUGCCAAACUCCUAGGGUGGUUAUAAGGAUUAAGUGAGAUAACACCUGAAGUGCAAAGAACAAUGCUUGGCAUGUGAUGAGUGCUCAGUUAAUGUUUGCUUAAAAGAAAAAAGCUAUUAAUACUAGAAUGGGAAUUUAAUUUUGGGCCUGCCUUAUACUGAAGUGGGUAAUAUGUUGUUGGUGUAUUUGCUUUCAGAUAGAUAAUACAUCUUUUCAUUUACAACUGAAAUUCAGGUAUUUAAUCCAAAAAAAUAAGUGCUGUCCUACCAUGUCCCAGACAUUGUGCUUAAGCAUGAAAGUAUUUCUUUAACUUUAAUCUUCAGUUAUUCUGCCAAAAUUGUUGGAGCUUGUAUUUAAAAAUUAUGUCAAAAAUGUAUGUUUGUCACACUUAGAGGUAAUGCUAUAUUGGAGCAAGAUAAAAAAUGAUUUGGGUUCCUUUAAAGAUAUCAUGAUACAGAAAAAAUAAAAGAAUCAAGUAUGCCCUUUUUUGUCCUGCUGAGAAGCACAUAAAUACUGAAGUUCAGAUUCAUCAUUUAUUUUCAGAAAUAUAUUAGUGAUAAAUAAUUAGAGGAUGUUUUAGUCUACUCAGGCAUAACAAAAUUACUAUAGUCUAGGUGACUUAACUAACUAACAUAUUUCUCACAGUUCUCGAGGCUGCAGGGUCCAAGAUCAAGGUGUUAGCAGAUUUGGUGUCUGGUGAGAACCCUAUUUCCUGGUUCCUAGAAGACAGUCUUUCUCAUUGUGUGUUCACAUGGCAGAAAGGCUGAGGGUGUUGUCUGGGAAAAGGUACCCAUCUCAUUCAUAGGGGUUCCACUCUCAUGAUCUAAUCACCCUCAAAGCCCACCUCCUAAUACUGUCACAUUUUGGGGUUAUGAAUUUUGAAUUAUGGGAGGGCACAGACAUUUAGUCUGUAUCAGGUAUAUUUUGUAUACUGUAUGUUGAGGAACAAAGGUGCUUGAAUCAGUUCUAGUUACUCAUACUUUAAAAUCCUGCCCCUCACAAAAAGAUGUGUUUGAUAACAUGUCUCAUUUUACUGUUGUAGCUAUUUUGACAACAGUGCCCGAAUUUAUUUGCUUAGCAUAUAAACAUUGUUAAUAAACAGAGCAUGUACUUUGUAGAUGGUGCUUGACUGGGGGAGAAAUUUAUACAUCAAGAAAGACAGAUAGCCUUGGCCAGUGUGGCUCAGUUGGUUGGAGUGUUGUCCCAUGCUCUGAAAGGUUGCAGGUUCGAUUUCUGGUCAGGGUGCAUACCUGCAUUGAGGGUUGGAUCCCCAGGAGAGGCGCAUGUUGGAGGCAACCAAUUGAUGUUUCUAUCUCACGUUGAUGUUUCUUUUUCUCCCUCCUUCUGUCUAUAAAACAAUGAAAAAAAAAGUCCUCUGGUAAGGAUUAAAAAAAAGAAUGACGUAUUUCUCAGAGUAUAAAACUGAUAAAAUAUAGAGAACAAAAAGAACAUUUUACAUGGGAACCAUUACACUGUAAGUUAUCUAUCUUAAUCUCUCUAAAGUAAACUGCAGAAAGCAACUCCUUGUCCUUGUUUAUUAAUGCUUUUUGAAUUCACUUACGUUCAGACCUUAGAUUCAUCUUAGAGUCCACUUUCUAGCCCAUAGCACCAGCAUUGCCUCAGUUGCCAAAACUUACUGGUUCUGUUCUUAGUAACUCUCGAGUUUCAUUUCCUUUGCAAAUGGCUAAAUAUGUGACCAUCAGCUAGUUACUUGAAACUCUUGGGCCAGUUUCCCAGAAUCAUAUCUUAAUCUAAAAUUACUUGUUUUUAUUCUAGUAGACCAUGACUGAUCUAUGUAAAAACUGCGGCAAUAACUUUCUAACUGAUCUUCCUGUUCCAGUCCAUCCUCCUAAUUCAGGAUUAAUUUUUCUAAGUCAUAUUUCCUUUUCUGUCUUUUGAAUUUGUCCAGCUGAAGUACCAUCUUCUCAGACCUCUGUGGUCACUGUUGUGAGAACUCAAGUCACAUGUUCUGUGUAGUACCAAGUACGGUUACUUGGCAUUCAGUAAAUAAGCUGAUUUACCGUGUUAUUUUAUAUAAUUAUUUGGAUACAAAUCUUCUUUACAGUGUUAGCUCUUGGUGGGUAGAAACCUUGUAUUUCUUCAGCACUGUAGUGACAUCAUUAUGGUACACACAGAGGGAGCACAGAGGCUUUUGUUGGAUGUGCAUGUGGUCACUGUGUUUUACUGGCUAUACCAUAGGAAGGGAAGGAUUAAAACUCUUGUUUCAGUGAGCUUGAUGGCCAUCAGCUACAUUGUAACCAAAAAGUUAAAAUUUGAAACUGUUCUAAGAAAGUACAUGCUGGAUAUGAUAUAGUAAAGUUGAUGUGGUCAUAAGAAAAAACAAGAAUGAAGCUUGGAAGAAGCUUCCCAGAGAUCCCAGGGAGAAGGGUCACCGCCUCCCAUACAGGGCCACAGGGGAGGAGACUAGGGUAGUCAGGAGGCAAAAGACAGGAGUGCAGGAGAGAUCUUAGCUGAUGGCAUUUGUUGUAGUUUCCUAGGGAAAGGUAAGACUGCGUAGAAUAAGACUGGUUAGGAUUGUCUAGUUUGAUUAAUUCCUGCAGAUUUUGAGUUCCAGGGUUGGUUUGUAGUUUCUUAGUACUUAACCCUGGGAUGAUUUAGUUUAGGAAAUACUGGCUUGGUAUGUGAGAGGUAGAUAAGGAGGACAUAGCUGUUGGUAUAAACUCUGGAUUGGUGGUUUGCAUAUGAAAAGUGUGCUAGUAGGCAAGUUGUUAUCUUUAGGAAUUUAGGUAAUUUAGGAAUUCCAGAUGGCCCCUGGAAGUGGCCAUCUCUUCUGUGCUCUGUAAGUGCUUCCCUCUCAUGCUCCGAAAGUUCAGAACAUUAAGAAUACAGAAAAUACUAUUAUAAUUGGCCCUGUGAUGAAUGAAUGUCAAAUAUGAAUAAAGAAUCUUAAAAAAAAACACUCAGAACAAAAACUCUGCUGUUAAAUUGAGGGUUCAUUCUUGCUGGUAUUCACUAAUUUCAAGAGGUUAAUGUCAUCUUUCAAAAGUUGGAAUCAUAAAAUACAUUAAUUACACAUUCAGCUGUUUACAUAAAGAACAAAAAAGAAGGAAAACCACUUGUAGAUAGCCAGAGUUGACAAUUUAGUAUUUAUUUUUUCAGUCUUUUUUCUGCAUAUAUAUUGGGGCUGUGUGACAUUUUGAAAACAAGAAUGGAGUUACAUAGUACCUCUUUAAUUUAUAAUAAAAUGCUGCCUGUGAAUGUUAAAUUUUUAGAGAUGGAUAGAAUGUUAAAUUUUUGUAUUGCUCUUGUGUGGAGUUUUCCAGAGAGGAAGAAAGAGGAAACAUUUAUAGCAACCAGUAAGGCAUGGUAGGACAGGAUUUUGAAACUUAAGCUCUGGCAGUAUUACUAAGGAGUUGGAAUGGUGCCUCUCUAAAUUAGUUAUUUAAUAAAGUAUAUUUCUUCAUUUCAGAAUUGUUAUCAACAUGACUGUGUUUGUUGGUGUUCAUUACAAAUUGUUUUUUAGACCCUAUAACUUGAAUAUAAAACAUCAACAGAAAUUUUUGUUUUCUAUGUAAAAUAUUAAAAGUCAUUCAAACUUGGUUAGAAUUCAUUGUUUUAAAAUUAAUAAUAUGUGUAGGACUUCAUUAAACUCAUAGACUGCAUUAAGAGUUAAAAUUGAUUGUGGACUUAGAUCACACCUGGUAAUUGUACUGUUAUAUCAGAUAGUUACUGAUUUAUGAAUAAAUUGUGUUUUGAAAAACUUUAAUCUUUUUCUUUGCUUAUGAAAAUAUGCCUAGAUACCGUAAAUAAACUUACAAAUUUUCUUUAAAACACAUCAUACCUAAGUAUAAUAUUUUAUUAAUAAUUGUAUUUAACUGACCUAUAUAACAUUUUUUAAUAGAAAAGUUAAUUUGAGUUUUAAAUUUGGAUGUCAGAAAUUUAUCUGCACCUUUCACCCAUCCUGGCUUGCUUAGUUCUCUUGAUUUAUCAGUUCCAGAAAAUUGAGGAUAGAUGUUUGUGGGCAGCAUUUAACUUAACUACACAUCACAUUUUAAAGACAUACAGUACCUGACUAUAGCCUCUGUUUCCUAGGUAAGGAACUCUAUAUCACUCCAAGUUAAUUAUUUCCCUAGUGUUUUGAUUUUGGGGAACAGAACAUUUGUUCCUGUGAGGUUCAGGGUCAUUUUAUAAGAUGGGGGCUUUCUAUACCUUACAAAUUUAUUUUCUUC